UACGUAGGGUGCGAGCGUUGUCCGGAAUUAUUGGGCGUAAAGAGCUCGUAGGCGGUGUGUCGCGUCGGCCGUGAAAACCUGCAGCUUAACUGUGGGCUUGCGGUCGAUACGGGCAUCACUGGAGUUCGGCAGGGGAGACUGGAAUUCCUGGUGUAGCGGUGAAAUGCGCAGACUAUCAGGAGGAACACCGGUGGCGAAGGCGGGUCUCUGGGCCGAUACUGACGCUGAGGAGCGAAAGCGUGGGGAGCGAACAGG
rnacentral:rRNA from 1 species